CGUGUAGGCGGUUGGGCAAGUCAGAUGUGAAAGCCUUCCGCUCAACGGAAGAAGGGCAUUUGAAACUACCCGGCUAGAGUACGGGAGAGGAGAGUGGAAUUCCCGGUGUAGAGGUGAAAUUCGUAGAUAUCGGGAGGAACACCAGUGGCGAAGGCGGCUCUCUGGUCCGAUACUGACGCUGAGACGCGAAAGCGUGGGGAGCAAACAGGAUUAGAUACCCUGGUAGUCCACGCCGUAAACGAUGGGCACUAGGUGUAGGAGGUAUUGACCCCUUCUGUGCCGAAGCUAACGCAUUAAGUGCCCCGCCUGGGGAGUACGGCCGCAAGGCUAAA
rnacentral:rRNA from 1 species